GUCGAAAGCAAAGAGGAGAACAAAAAACGCUGUAUAUUUCCUACCAGCUUUGUAAACCAGACACAAGGGCACAUAAGCAAGACCAGGGAAAGAGCCGUCUCUCAGAUGAGGUAAGGUAGAAUCCCAAGUAGAAGAGAGGUUGAGAAUGAUUGUGUUUUGAGACAACCUUCAGUGAGUAUCUGCAGUUACAGUGAGCCCAUAGGAAACCAAGCUCCUCAAGUUCAGUGUUAAUUGUGCUGGUUCAAAAAUCCUCAUUCAAAUUCCUGUAUCAUACAGAAAAACGUAAUGUGUAGAUUUGAUAUUGUAACUCUGUAUUUUGACGGCAAUGACAUACAUUGUUUUGAAUUCCUUUUCUAUCUACUACUCUGCUCAUGGCACAUAUCUGUUCACACACAAAUACACCACAAAACCUUGGCAGAUUUUAGUUGUGGAGUCUUAAAGCCGAGAGAAACAGUCAGAGCUUUCACAGAGAGGAAGGCUGAGUGGGUAUUUUAGCAGUGGGGCGGGACUCAAAUAGUCAAGAUUUAAUUUUGCUUGCUCUGCAUCCUUCUGGGCUUUUUUUCCCUUGUCUCUGUAAUAGGGAUGAUUAAAUUUCCUUUCUUCCACCUUUCCUUCAUCUAGACUGUAAUGGCUAAGAUUUCUCAGACUCAGUAGGUCUUAUGAGGUCUGAUUCCAAGUAAACAUUGGGAAAAAUCCUCUCUGGCAAGGAGGAGGAGAAAGCUGAAUCACUUGGUUCUGCUGUCCUUAUCCAGGCAAUGGUCAGACCCAGAGGAAGCACAGCAGCAGCUCCCAGGGGUGCCUUGUUCUGCUUCUGCACGUUGUGCCGUGAAACACAAAGACACAGCUGGCAGGAUGCUGCCCUGUACGCAUAUCCAGUGCUUGUUCUGACAGCAGAUUUCUGAUAUAAAUCUAUGGCAGUGGUUGCAGAUGAAUUAAAGACAGACAAAAUGCCACACACUGUGCUGUCCAGAAAGAGCAACUCUUAAAAGCUGGGUGGACUUCGGAGCUUGGCUGGACAGGAGGUCAGAACACGAACUGUGAGUAACAGUGCUUCGGAAGAUGGACUGAAAGAUUCUUGCACUACUAAUGAAUUUCCAGGAAAACUGACUGUAAACUGCUAUCAAGAAGAGAAAUGGAAGAUGAGGAAUAAGUUCCUGAUGAGAGGAAUCUCCUGGAGGUUUCUGCUGGGGCAGGCUGGCUGAAGGCGACCAGGUGCAGUGCAGCCUCAAGAAGGGGAGGUGAAGGAGGAUGCUCGUGGCUGAGGAGCUGGCAGCAGUGGCAGGGAUGUCAGCAGGCCCAGGGCUCUGCCAUGAAGGCCAUAAGGCGGGUUGCUCCUGGGGGACGUCAUCCUGCAGCGGCGGCAGCACUGGGAGGGCUGUGCCUCUGGAGAUGGAUGUUGCCAAGCGGGAGCGGCAUGGCGGGGGACAGCGUGAGCCCUCCCCACAGCCCGCUUCCUUGCCACCUUUCCUGUGGAAACGAGUGUUACUUAAGCAGUCUGGAGGUGCUGUAAGGUAAUUCCCACAAAGCUAGGAGGCAGAUGCUGAACAUCUUACUGAUGAAUAAAUGAUGUGACAAAAAGGAACAGAGUGUGUGUGCUGGCGCUUCCCCAUCUCACAUGCACGGCACGCUUGCCUGCACAGCACAGCUUUUCCACGCCAGCUCCUCACAGCCUCGUUCUUCUUUACCCAUUCUACUUUACAAUCCUCACAGCUACCCCUUCCGUUCUCCUACAGCCCUUUACCGAAACACGCUGUGCAGGCUAACCCAUCCUCCAGACAGUUCAUUUGCACUCCCUCCUUGAGUGCUGGUCUUAGCACAGAUUGCUCAGUGCCUGCUUUUCCACCGCUGCCGCAACAGGAGGGGCCCAGCACUGCUCUGACAGCCCUCAGACACACAACUAAUCCUGCUGCCUUUGUGUAAGUGGAAGCGGCAGGAGCAGGCUUUUAAGGGCUAGAAAGUAUUCCACUCAGGGUACCGUUUAUUCAUUCUCAUUUGGCAGCUGAGCUUGCCUGCUGAGAAAUAACUGCUGAGGAAGAGCAGAGGGGGAGCGGAGCAUUCUGCCUAUGUCAGUGUCAGUGAGCACACACUUUGAGAAAACAGCCACGUGGACGUCUCUGUCCCAUCUGCUUUUCCUGCUCAGCUCGAAGACUGCUUGGGGUCACUGCCCGAACACACCUCUGCUAUGGGCCUGGAGACAGCCCAGUAACAACCAGAGCUCUUUGCUGUCCUCGCAGCUUGUUGCUGGAUGCUCACCCCCUGGGUGAACCAUUGCUCAUGGUCUCAGCAUGGCUUUUUUUACAGCAGUCCUUCUGAAGUUCAGUUAUACUUUUCUUUUUUUUCUUUUGAGACAAUCUGUAGAGAAAGAAGAGCUGAAUGAACGUGUCACCAACUCGUCACUUUCCCAUUUCUCUCCCUCUCUUUGCCCUUCCUUUAAUAGUCUGAACCAAUUUUAGAAGAGUCUCUGAUGCCCCUGAUGAUACAUUGCCUUGGAGUUCCAGACAGCAGCCCACGUGGGCACGCUGCUCUCUGCAGGCACUGCCGAUGGAAGAGUGGUGCCAGCACGGGCAGCACCGGUGAUGGGCUGGGUCUGUGUUGUACAGCUGCUCAAGAAAUCCCACGUUUAGUCCUUUUAUUUUUAACCAGAAUAAACUGACACCCUGCUGAUAGAUCCCACGCCUUUAAAGAGACAUUUCAGGCUACACCAAACGCAGCUGUCACGUACAGAAGUGCAGAACACACGAUGGGAGAAGGAGGGUGCACUUCUUCGAGGCCACAGCGCUUGGAAGAAGAGAUGGGGGAAGUCCUCACCCGACCCCCUGCUGUGGCAGCAUCAGUGCUGAUGGGAGGUCAGGUCAGUACUUUUGUCUCUUCCAUCAGCUUCCAUGAGAGCGCGGGAUCACAAGGGCAAAUCUGCAAAACCCCGGGAUUCAGUUUUCUGUGGAUUACAGCCACCGAGAAGUCAAGAGAAAAAAAAAACAGCCCAUUAAAUUUAACAAGGGCUGAAAGCUUGACACAAGCCCACAGUGUGCUCUUGCAGCCCAGAAAGCCAACUGGGUCCUGAGCUGCAUCAAAAUAGGGGAGGCCAGCAGGGAGGUGGAGGGAAUCGUCCCCAUCUGCUCUGCCCUCUGAGGCCCCAUCUGGAGUACUGUGUCCAGAGCUGGGGCCCCCAGCACAGGAAGGACACAGAGCUGUUGGAAAGGAUCCAGAGGAGGGGCACAACCACAGUCAGAGGGCUGGAGCACCUCUGCUAUGGAGACAGGCUGAGGGAGCUGGGCUUGUUCAGCCUGCAGGGCUCUGGGGAGACUUCUUUGCGACUCUCCAGUACCCAAAGAGGGCCUAAAGGAAAGCUGGGGACAGACUCUGCCAGGGUGUAUAGUGAUAGGGGAACGAGCAAUGGCUUUAAACUAAAAGAGUGUGGCUUUAGAUUAUAUAUUAUGAAGAAAAUCUUCACCGUGAGGGUGGUGAGGCACUGGAACAGGAUGCCCAGACAAGCUGUGGAUGCCCCAUCUCUGAAGGUGUUCAAGACCAGGUUCGGUGACACUUGUAGAACCAAAUCUAGCAUGAGGUGUCCCUGACAACAGCAGGGCUUGGAACUGGAUGGUAUUUAAGGUCCCUUCAAAUCCAAACCAUUCUAUGAUUCUCUGAUUCCUCCCCAUUGCAAAACCACAUCACAGCAGGAGAGAGGCUUCACUCGGCUGCAGGCUGCUCUAGCACCGUGCUCAAUACUCUUUGCUGGAAGCAGCUCAUUUUCAAGAUGCACACCGAGAGGUGUUUCUCGGGCCUCAUCGCUGCAGGCUGCUAUCAGGCUGCAGCAGGAGAACCAUGCAACUCAAACCUUGCAGUAACCUCACACCCUUUCUGGGGCAUUUCUACUACAGCACCCACACAGAGCACCUCUGGGACACAGGCCGGGAGCCACUACUGAAACUUUGUUUUUGCACAAGAGAUAAAACAGAUCGGUGGUGGCUAAUAGACAACAGUGAGGAAAUAGAGAGAUGCUGUCAGGAGCUUGCUCCCUUUCUGGCCCCAUUUCCUACCCUUGUGCAUCCCCAGCGCUGCCAUUCAACACCAACACCUGGUGCUGAGGCACUGGGACAGCUCGUGCCAGCCAAAGCUGUCCUGCUGUCACCAGAUACCGCAUGCCUCACGCACAGGGAAACAGCAGCACCCUGCUCUGGCGCCUGUCAGCAGGUGACAGCUCUGCAGAGCUUUAAUUGGAGGUGUGCUCAUGCAGCUGCUGCAGCUGCUGCUGCUUGGUCUUCGCUCAGUGCGUUUUCUGAAUGUCACAUCAGGGCUGUUCCUGCUGGUUUGUCAGGUCACUGAUCCUCUGUAUAACACUUCUGCUUAGCGCUUGCCUGUUGUGUCAGGACAAAACGCUGCAAACCAAGCGCUUCUGCUGGAUGUGAGUGUGAUCUGAACACGAUCAAACCCACCUUGCAUGAGUAUUUUAAGAAAAUAUAGCCCCAGCGUUGUGCAAAGCUGAUGUGGAGAGACUUCUGGCAGCCAUCGAGCUCCGUGAAAGAAAUCUUAAUUUAUUCCAUUUGGGGAAUUUCACUGGCAGGAUGACACAGCCCGAUGCACAUCGUUCAAGUGUCCUUGGAAAUGCAUUCUUUUUGCAUCGCUUUCAUGUCAGCAAAAUGCUGAGAGCACUGCUGGAACAGUUCCAGCAUUCAACCUGCUUCCCAGUGAGCGUGCAGGAGUGCGGCAGAAGCCUUCAUUGCUGUUGUAAUAUUUGCAUACAGAGCCUCAUCGGAAACCCUUACGGACGUGCUCAGACACACCAGUGAGAUCUGCAUGGGCUGCGGCCAGCCAGCAAUUGGAAAAACAUUCCUGGCUGCAAAAAGAGUGAGCGCUUUGGUCCCUCCCACCGAGAGGCAGCAGCCCCCCAGGACCAGUGAGAGCAUGGGGCCCCAGCUGGACCCCCCCACCUGUCCUGCGCCACCCAUGGGGUUUGCUGCCGUGCCUCAGCUGCCUGUCCCCACACCUUCAUCCCGUGUGCGGUGCUCCAGGCUCCUGCCAUCUCUGAGCCCCGCCUCCGCAUUAGCGGAACACAUUUCUUCCUCGAAGGAACGAUGUGAACUAGCAGUAACCGCGCUCCUGACCCAGAGCGCCCGCGGUGGGACGUCUGCUCAUGUUUGUCCCGACGACCACUUCAUUCUGCUGAAGCCCCAUUCACCUCGGCUGAUUCCUCCAGCAGCAUUUGGCUGACAAAGGCACUGCGUGUCCACCUCCUCUGCUGGGUGUUCUCGAAGCCCUGCUCCCACAGGGGCUCCCUGUGAACCAAUAUGCAGGAUUUUGGCCCUGGGCUUGCAGAUUUUACAUCACCACGUCCCAGCCUGGCCCAGGAUUUGAUAUUAGCAGUGUUUUCCUACAGAAACAUGCAUCUUACUGCCUCACGGCAGCUCACAAACACAACACUGCAUCUCCAAGCAACAACAGUGUCUGCCGGGCAUGACUGUGGGACUGUGCUGGUCCCAGAGAACAAAGCAGGCUUGGAUGGGGAUGCCCCAGUUGUUCGGGCUUAACACUGCUCACUUCAGAGCAGGAACUAUUCAGAGCAGAGCCACUGUCAGGGACAAAAAUAAACUCCAGUUGUUGUUCAAAGCCUUCAGAACAAGAGCAGGAGCAGAGCACAGUGAGUGCCCUUCUCUUUUGACCGCCAUCUCUUCCAAGAAGCAGGGGGAAGGUGCAGGCAUAUGGGGUUUUAUUCUUCUUUAAUUUCUUACAGUGACGUUCCCCUCUGUCCCAGCCGGUCCUCUCCAGUGGGUGUUUGCCCACAUUUUUGCUUCCCACUACAAUUUCUGUGAUGCAAUGCCAAGUACAGCUUUGCUGCUGCCAGUUUAGGGACACGGACGCGUGGUCUACAGGAGAGCUCAUCUCUUUUAUUAGACCAAAUGAUGCACUUGGAAAGAACAGAGAAGCUUUGGUGCUCCAGAACUUGCCUGCCUGUUUCUCCAUGCCCAGUGCUAUGCAGCAGGGACCUCUCCCUGCAGCUCAGUGGGCACAGGUUGGGGCUCUCUCUGCCAAGCAGAGCUGCCUGGGUGCACUGAGCUAACUGCUUGCCCAAACACCUCCUAAAUGGCUUCACACCAGCUCCAGAGCUCUGCCAGAGGUCCGUGUACUGCACACCCAGCCCUGUGACCGACAGAAUGGCUGCUGCUUCUGCUCAGCUGUGACUGUCCCAGGCAGCCUCUGAGCCCAGAGAAACCCAUUGGAGGCUGCAGGUCUCAGCUGCCAAGGCUGACAAGCCCUGCUCAGAGCACGACCUGGCAGCAGGAAGUGGAGGCUGAAAGCCCAAGGGACAGGGAUGCUGAGAGGCUGCCCACAGGCUAUCACGGACACACUGGCACUGCACGAGAGGCAGCCAGAGCUGUGGUGUUUCCCUGGAUCAUCUUCCCAGAUGGGUGGUGAGCUGCCCUGUACAUCUGUCCAGAGGUAUACCCAUGUCUGUUCUAUGGUUACUCGGGGCCAGCUGAAGUCCAUCUCAGUUGGAGUCAAAGCUGCUGGUGAACAGCUCCUGGGCUGCAGGCAGCCAGGCUGGGUCUCUGCUGAGGUUUCAAAACUAACGUGGUGCAGUGGCAUCCUCUGCUAGCAAGGCAAGGAAAGAGUUAGGAAGCCUGAGGCCACCCUCCUUGCCUACCUGUGUCUCCAUCACCCAAAAAGGAUGCAGGAUGACAGCUCCCCACACAGAACACCUUGCCCCGCCAGUCUGCAGCACCCACCUGCCCAGCACCAGAGCCACAAGACUGACAGUCUCCCUGUGACCGUGCAGCCCUCCUCCCAGUGCUCAGUGCUGAGCUUUGUUUCCUGCUUGAAACAAGCCACUGCACUAGCACAGGUCUCACACUGCUUGUGUGCCUCAUGAAGAACACCUUCCCCUAGUGACCUUCCAUGUUUACAUCUUCACUGUGCCACCAGGGAACAGACUUCUCCCACCCCCUGGCUCUGUGGCUGCUCAUCACGACCGAGGACACUGAGUGCAGGAGCCCAUCAGCCAGCUGUCACACACAGGUAGGUGUGCUUGCACACCAUGCCCUUGUGCCACUGCUGUUGUACCAGUGAGAAAAUUGGCUGCUGUGAGGCCAUUCCUGGAGGGUUUCGGAGCAGGUGCACCUGCUGGCUCUGCUCUCCUACAGCUUUAUUCCAGAUUCACUUUCGUAAGAUUACUGUGGAUGAGUUCCCAGAGCAUAACAUCUGCUCAUCAUCCAAGGCCAAGAGAGAUAAGGAGAAGAAAAGAGAGAACAGGAGAGCCAUGCACACACAAGACAGAAAAUAAAAGGAAAAGAGGAAAAAAAGCACAAAACUAAAAACAAUAUGGAAGCCAAUGCAGCUCCUCUUCCCCAGCUGCCUCUGCCCUCCUGGUGCUCCUACAGGACCCACUGGGUGAUGAAGUUGGGCUCCUGAGCAGCGCUGCCCAGAGCCGCCUUGCUGCCAGCCUCAGGGCAAUCCUAUGGGACACGGCCCACAGCCACCUCAUGGCACACAGACCAGCCCACACUGCCCCCUCUGGCCCCAUGAAGAGGUCCUGCCCCCUCGACCUGUAAUGGGGAAAGGCUGCCCGCACCCACAGCCUGCACCCACAGCCUGCAGCAGGGAAAUGCCUGCAUUACAGGGGGAUUCUUGGGGGGCAAGCCACGCAUCUGGGAUAGCUCCUUACAGUCGCUUCAGCCAGAAAUGGGUGGUACGAUUACACAUCUCACUUUAUUUUCUUCCUUAUUUUCUUUUUAUUCAGCAGGGGCAACGUUGCUCAUCCUAAAGCAUUUCUUAAAGACGAGGGGAAAACAGCAUGACAGCGAUUCAUUCACACAGAGCCAAUGCAACCUGGAAGUCUCCGCUUAUUUGCCACAAAAAUAAUUAAUUUAAAGCCAAAUGGGAAUGACUCAAAACAAAGAAAAAGAUCUCCAGAGAUUUUCCCCUCCCUCAGAGCAAGACACCUGCCUGUCCUUUCAGAUUGCUGCUCCGCUCUAAUGGCUGCAGCAGAUUUAUGCUAUUAAUUAGCUUCCAGGAUUUAUUUUUCCCUGGAAGAAGCCGCUGUCUGGCCCCGCUCCGAAGGGACAAACCUCCUUGCUGAUUCCUGAGGGGUGAAAUCAAGUGCUGUCUGGCAGAGGGGCAGGCCUGGGACACCAUGCUUUUACAUCAGGGUUUUGCAAGGCUUCCUUACUGCAGCAAAGCAAAUGAGCCAGGCUAAGAGUGGGCGACAGUCAGGAGGAAACCAGAGUUAGGAACAAGGAGAAAAGGGUUUUGCAUGAGAAAGACAAGGCUCUCCUGCUGGGAAUGAGAAUUCAGAGGCAGGAGGUCUACUAAAUCCCUGAAGGACAGAGGGUAUGCUGAGGGGCCUGGCAAUGGGGUGAAGAUGAAAUGAAGGAGCUGGGCCUUCACUCAGCUGAUGAACUUGUUACCUCAGGGGACUGUGGAGGUGCAGAAGGAAAAUGGUUCAGAAACCACGCGGAUGGAUUGAUCCAGGAUAAGGCCAGGAUAAAGCCAGUGGUAGUGAUUUAAAAAGUAAUUAAUGAAGGAUAAACACUUCUUUAGACAUGGUGAGAAAGUGUCUCUACGGACAUCUUUAAUUAAAAGCUGGGGAGGAGAAGUGGCUGAAAAUACCUGCUCAAGACAGUUAGGAGUUGACAAAAAGCCUGGAAUAAAUGAGUAAUUGUGAUUUAAAAAAUAAGAGUACCAACAAGGAGCUCUCUGCCAUGUGCUGGGUUACAGAGCCAUGGCAGAGAUACAGGAACCUGAGGGGCAGCACAAGAGCUGGACAAGGAAGGGCAUCAGCACUCUCCUCCAUCAGUUAAAUGGCUCCAAUACAUGGCAAGCAUACAGAGCCUGCUGUGCUGCAGCUCCUUCAUGGGCACUGCCCCAGACCUGAGUCUGGGUCCUCCUGUACUCAGCCCUGGUGAGGCUGUACCUCAAGUACUCGAGUGUUCAGUUUUGGGCCCCUCACUACAGGAAAGACAUGGAGGCCCUGAUGUGUGUCCAAAGAAGGGCAAUGAAGCCGGUGAGGGGUCUGCAGCACAAGUCUUAUGGGAAGCAGCUGAGGGAACUUGGAUUGUUCAGUCUAGAGAAGAGGAGUCACUCAGGGGAGACCUUAUUGCCUGAAAUGAGGUUGUGGAGAGGUGGAGCUUGGCCUCUUCUCCCAGGCAACGACAGGAUGAGAGGGAAUGGCCUCAAGUUGCACCAGUGAAGGUUCAGGUUGAGAUACUAAGAAGGAUUUCUUCUCAGAAAGAGUGGUAAUGCAUUGGAACAGGCUGCCAAGGAAGGUGGAAGAGUCACCAUCCCUGGAGGCGUUUACAGAAAAGGUAGAUGUGGUACUUAGGGACAUGGCUUAUUGGGUCUUUUCCAACCUUAAUGAGUCUGUGAUUCUAUGAUUCUGUGAUUCUAUGAUUCUGUGAACAAAAAUAUUUGUCCCACAUAGCUUGAAAAGAAAGGAUGGGUUUUGGUUUUCCAAAGUUCAUGCUUCUGCACUUGACGCAUAAACCACACUAGAAGAGCUGCCUUUUCAAUUUGCAUUAACAUCAUAAGAUCCAACAGAUUAAAAUGCUACAAUCAACAAGGCAAAUACACUUUACUAUAUACAUGGCUUGGAUGGCUAACAGCUAUUAAGGACGUAUCUCUUUUUGUAGUGAAGAAAAAGCCCGAGUUAGAAAUACUUGCAGCCAGAAGUGGCUACGUGUGACUCAGCAAACUGAAGAAGAGCCCAAUGUAUGCCCUGCUGCUCAGUACCAGCUCACUCUGAGCACCACAGCAAUGAGGGCUGCUUACCGAACUGCUGCCAAAUCCUGCGCCUGGAGAUCACACCUGGGGGCUGGGAGUGCACCAGGCAGCAAAUGGCUGCUGUGGCUGAUGUAUACCUGAAGCAAAGCAGAGGCACACAGCGAGGCUUGCAGCCACUGUUGCAAACCUGCGCCAGCAAUGAGUGGGGUUACUUCUGUGAGAGAACAGAAAGCAGCAAACAAAUGCCUCCUCCUACUCACAGCUACAGAGGGUGCAGCCGGAGCAGCUUUGCCUUUUCUGGAGCAUUAGAAAAAGGCCCGGGUGAACAAAUGCACAGAGGCAGGCUUACAUAUCAGGCUGUGCUCAAGGGGGUGCGGAGAACAAAAAGAGGCUGCAAUUAACGGAAGGGCCACUUUCUCUUUUCCAAUCAGAAGAUAUAACAGGCAAUAUUUUAAGACCGUGAGUAGGAGUCCUUUUGUUGGAUAAUUCACAGGGACCGCUCAUUACCUCUGCUGGAAAGCACAGCAAGUCUUAGGCAAGCGACCGAGUUACUUUAGGACAACACAGCAAAAAAAAAAAAAAAAAAACACCCAACAAACCAACAAAAACCAGGCUUGUGGUGUGCAUCUCAAGAGCUGGAAGUACGCCCAUCAUCUGAAGGUCACUCGAUAAUGUGGGGACAUUUGAAGCUCGCCAUUCCUUUGCUGGUGCUGCAGGAGGGCUGCACAGGCAGUGCUGCACAGAGGUGGCUGCAGAGAGGCCACCUCUCUCAGGGCACUGCUGUGCUCCCCUGCACACCCCCUCCAGGGGCCCAGCCUAUAGCACAGGAUCAUCCCUUCCAAAGGGAGCCCUGUGCCAAGCACUGAGGUCUAUCUCACAUAAAAGAGAAGGGUGUGGAAACAAUCAGCCUUUGAUAAAUACCGCACACUCAAAGCGCUUGAUCAUGGUGCCCACCUACUACCUCUACUACCUCUCAAAAAGGGACUCAAAACACAGCAGUCAGAAACAACCAUGGGCUUGGAGAGGACUUUUCUUCUUUCAGCAGAUGACAGCUUUAUCACAUAAUACAAAUUCAUUUUCAACCUUAA